rnacentral:rRNA from 1 species
UACAACGAGAAGCGAGCCUGCGAAGGCAAGCGGAUCUCUUAAAGCUGUUCUCAGUUCGGACUGCAGUCUGCAACUCGACUGCACGAAGCUGGAAUCGCUAGUAAUCGCGGAUCAGCACGCCGCGGUGAAUACGUUCCCGGGCCUUGUACACACCGCCCGUCACACCAUGAGAGUCGGGAACACCCGAAGUCCGUAGUCUAACCGCAAGGGGGGCGCGGCCGAAGGUGGGUCCGGUAAUUGGGGUGAAGUCGUAACAAGGUACC